UACGAAGGGGGCUAGCGUUGUUCGGAAUUACUGGGCGUAAAGCGCACGUAGGCGGACUGUUAAGUUGGGGGUGAAAGCCCAGGGCUCAACCCUGGAAUUGCCUUCGAUACUGGCAGUCUCGAGAAUGGGAGAGGUGAGUGGAAUUCCUAGUGUAGAGGUGAAAUUCGUAGAUAUUAGGAAGAACACCAGUGGCGAAGGCGGCUCACUGGACCAUUUCUGACGCUGAGGUGCGAAAGCGUGGGGAGCAAACAGG
rnacentral:rRNA from 1 species